rnacentral:tRNA from 1 species
ACGGGCAUAGCUCAACUGGUAGAGUGGAGGUCUCCAAAACCUCAGGUUGUGGGUUCGAGCCCUACUGCCCGUG